UUGCGACCAUAUCACGUUAAAAUACCGGUUCCCGUACGAUUACCGAAGUUAAGCAAUAUUGAAUCUAGUCAGUGCCUAGAUGGGUGACCGCUUGGGAAUAUCAGGUGCUGUAG